rnacentral:rRNA from 1 species
GACGUAGGAGGCGAGCGUUGUCCGGAUUUAUUGGGCGUAAAGAGCGUGUAGGCGGCUAGGUAGGUCCGUUGUGAAAACUCGAGGCUCAACCUCGAGACGCCGGUGGAAACCAUCUAGCUAGAGUUCGGAAGAGGAGAGUGGAAUUCUUGGUGUAGCGGUGAAAUGCGCAGAUAUCAGGAGGAACACCAGUGGCGAAGGCGACUACCUGGCCUGUUCUUGACGCUGAGGCGCGAAAGCUAGGGGGAGCAAACGGG